rnacentral:rRNA from 1 species
AGAGUUUGAUCCUGGCUCAGAUUGAACGCUGAGGCUUAACACAUGCAAGUCGAACGGCAGCGGACCUUCGGGUGCCGGCGAGUGGCGAACGGGUGAGUAAAGUAUCGGAACGUACCUUUCAGUGGGGGAUAACGUAGCGAAAGUUACGCUAAUACCGCAUAUUCUGUGAGCAGGAAAGCAGGGGAUCGCAAGACCUUGCGCUGAUUGAGCGGCCGAUAUCAGAUUAGCUAGUUGGUGGGGUAAAGGCCUACCAAGGCGACGAUCUGUAGCGGGUCUGAGAGGAUGAUCCGCCACACUGGGACUGAGACACGGCCCAGACUCCUACGGGAGGCAGCAGUGGGGAAUUUUGGACAAUGGGCGCAAGCCUGAUCCAGCCAUGCCGCGUGAGUGAAGAAGGCCUUCGGGUUGUAAAGCUCUUUCGGCCGGGAAGAAAUCGCAUGGGCUAAUACCCUGUGUGGAUGACGGUACCGGAAUAAGAAGCACCGGCUAACUACGUGCCAGCAGCCGCGGUAAUACGUAGGGUGCGAGCGUUAAUCGGAAUUACUGGGCGUAAAGCGUGCGCAGGCGGUUUUUUAAGAUAGGCGUGAAAUCCCCGGGCUCAACCUGGGAACUGCGCUUAUGACUGGAAGACUAGAGUAUGGCAGAGGGGGGUGGAAUUCCACGUGUAGCAGUGAAAUGCGUAGAGAUGUGGAGGAACACCGAUGGCGAAGGCAGCCCCCUGGGCCAAUACUGACGCUCAUGCACGAAAGCGUGGGUAGCAAACAGGAUUAGAUACCCUGUAGUCCACGCCCUAAACGAUGUCAACUAGGUGUUGGGUGGGUAAAACCAUUUAGUACCGGAGCUAACGCGUGAAGUUGACCGCCUGGGGAGUACGGCCGCAAGGUUAAAACUCAAAGGAAUUGACGGGGACCCGCACAAGCGGUGGAUGAUGUGAUUAAUUCGAUGCACGCGAAAA